GUGGGGAAUCUUCCGCAAUGGACGAAAGUCUGACGGAGCGACGCCGCGUGAGUGAAGAAGGCCUUCGGGUCGUAAAGCUCUGUCAUCAGGGACGAACGGCCGGUGGAGUGGAAAGCCACCGGAUUGACGGUACCUGAGAAGGAAGCCACGGCUAACUACGUGCCAGCAGCCGCGGUAAUACGUAGGUGGCAAGCGUUGUCCGGGAUUAUUGGGCGUAAAGCGCGCGCAGGUGGGAUCUUAAGUCCAUUUUGAAAGUUCGGAGCUCAACUCCGUGAUGGGAUGGAAACUGGGAUUCUUGAGUACCGGAGAGGAAAGCGGAAUUCCCCGUGUAGCAGUGAAAUGCGUAGAUAUGGGGAGGAACACCAGUGGCGAAGGCGGCUUUCUGGACGGUGUCUGACACUGAGGCGCGAAAGCUAGGGGAGCGAACGGGAUUAGAUACCCGUGUAGUCC
rnacentral:rRNA from 1 species